GACAGAGGGUGCAAACGUUGUUCGGAAUUACUGGGCGUAAAGCGUGUGUAGGUGGCCGCGCAAGUCGGAUGUGAAAGCCCUGGGCUCAACUCAGGAAGUGCACCCGAUACUGCGUGGCUUGAGUACCGGGAGAGGUUGGUGGAAUUCUCGGUGUAGAGGUGAAAUUCGUAGAUAUCGAGAGGAACACCUGUGGCGAAGGCGGCCAACUGGACGAGUACUGACACUGAGACACGAAAGCGUGGGGAGCAAACAGG
rnacentral:rRNA from 1 species